rnacentral:rRNA from 1 species
AGCUUAAAGAGCCGCGGUAUUUUGACCGUGCAAAGGUAGCAUAAUCAUUAGUUUCUUAAUUGGGAACUCGUAUGAAUGGUUAAACAAAAGAAUCUCUGUCUUUCUAUCUAACAUUGAACUUAACUUUUAAGUGAAAAGGCUUAAAUUUUUUAAGGGGACGAUAAGACCCUAUAAAGCUUUAUAAUGAAAUAAUAUUUUUUUGAAUAAGUUUAUAAAAAAUAAAUAAAAUAACCUUAUUUUGUUGGGGCGACAUAAAUAUAAAUAGAUAAUUUAACUGUUAUAAAAUAAUACAUGAAUAUUUGAAUUAAAUAUAAAUGAUCCUUUUUUAAAGAUUAAAAGACUAAGUUACUUUAGGGAUAACAGCGUUAUUUCUUUUGAGAGUUCUUAUUGAAAAAGAAGUUUGCGACCUCGAUGUUGAAUUAAAGAAUCUUUAUAGUGCAGCAGUUAUAAAAAGAAGGUCUGUUCGACCUUUAAAUCUUUA